GGCAGAUACUUGUAGUUGUCCUCAAAUUUCAUACUCUCAUUUUUCUUUAUUAAUAUAACCACACAUUUUUAACUGAGCUCAUUGAUCAUCAUAACAGAGUCUAUUGAAAGUCCUCAGCAGGCGGUGUGACGAUGUGACCAGCUCUGGCCAAGGAGCUGUAGGCAGAAGUGUCUUGCAGCAGCUCCUGUAAAUCUUAAAAGACAGCUGGUGCGUGUCUUUUUUCCUUUUUUUUUCCCUUCCCCCUUCCUGCUGCGCUGAAUAUGGAUAUGGUGAGUGAAUCUAGAGCAGCCAUUUGGAGGUAUGAAGAGAUCUUGGAAAUAGAGGCCAUGUGUGUUGAAACAAGACCGAACAACUCCAAGUUCCUGAAGACUUCAUUUCACCAACCCAGAACCUCCUUGAUCAUCACAGCCUUUGCAUGGAUGAUUGUCUGUCCUCUGUUGGGCCCCUUCUGAAGAGUUGGAGUUGGGUUGCUGCUGCUGUGCAGCUGAGGUACAAUCCCUCUCGUUCUUUGGGCAUCAGCCUCUGUUCUCCCUACAUGUGCUGUUUGCAAACUAUAGAAACCAUUUGGGCUGGUUUGAGCAUAAAAGGAAAUUACUGGGAGUUAUUAGGUGCUCGGUGAUUCAUUGGGAGGUCUGGCAAAAAAGAAGCUCAAGGCUAAGCUCAUAGGAACACAGCCCGGCAUCUCACACAGAAGUGGCUUGAUGAGGAUUCUACUGCCUCCACAGCUCCUGCCAUCAUCUUCAUCUGCACCAUAGAUGCUCAGAACCCAGUCUGUGUCUGCAUGUUGCUGACUUCCAAAUGAGAGCUUCAUGAGAGUGUAUUUGGUUGGUAGAACAUAGGUCCCAGACCUUCUCCCUGGGAGCUGGAAGAGAUGCUGGGAAAUUCUGCCCUGGAAAAAUAAAACUCACAAUGUGGGAAACAAAGAAAA
rnacentral:lncRNA from 10 species